UGCAGUCGAACGAAGUAGCAAUACUUAGUGGCAGACGGGUGAGUAACAUGUGGGUAUCUUCCCUUUGGUGAGGAAUAACACGAGGAAACUUGUGCUAAUACCUCAUAAGUCUUUACAGAGAAAGCUUUAUGCGCCGAUGGAUGAGCCCGCACUUGAUUAGUUUGUUGGUGGGGUAAUGGCCUACCAAGACUAUGAUCAAUUGCUGAUUUGAGAGGAUGAUCAGCCACAUUGGGACUGAGACACGGCCCAAACUCCUACGGGAGGCAGCAGUAGGGAAUCUUGCACAAUGGAGGAAACUCUGAUGCAGCGAUGCCGCGUGAGUGAAGAAGGCCCUUGGGUUGUAAAGCUCUUUCGUCGGGGAAGAUGAUGACGGUACCCCAUGAAUAAGCACCGGCUAACUACGUGCCAGCAGCCGCGGUAACACGUAGGGUGCGAGCGUUGUUCGGAAUUACUGGGCGUAAAGGGCGUGCAGGCGGAUAGGUCAGCCGGAGGUGAAAGCCCGGGGCUCAACCCCGGAGGGUCUUUCGGAACUGCCUGUCUAGAGAGAGUCAGGGGCCAGCGGAAUUCCUGGUGUAGAGGUGAAAUUCGUAGAGAUCAGGAGGAACACCGGCGGCGAAAGCGGCUGGCUGGGACUACUCUGACGCUGAGGCACGAAAGCGUGGGGAGCGAACAGGAUUAGAUACCCUGGUAGUCCACGCCGUAAACGAUGAGUACUUGGUGUCGGGGGGAAUC
rnacentral:rRNA from 1 species